UACGUAGGGGGCAAGCGUUAUCCGGAAUUACUGGGUGUAAAGGGAGCGUAGACGGUUAAGUAAGUCUGGAGUGAAAGGCCGGGGCCCAACCCCGGGACUGCUCUGGAAACUAUUGAACUUGAGUGCAGGAGAGGUAAGCGGAAUUCCUAGUGUAGCGGUGAAAUGCGUAGAUAUUAGGAGGAACACCAGUGGCGAAGGCGGCUGUCUGGUCUGCAACUGACGCUGAGGCUCGAAAGCAUGGGUAGCGAACAGG
rnacentral:rRNA from 1 species